CAAUAGCAUAUAUUAAAGUUGUUGCGGUUAAAAAGCUCGUAGUUGGAUCUCUGGUCUUGUCGGCCGGUCGCCCUCUGGGUUGUACUGGUUGGUGGACCCGAAUUGCUAGUUGUGCUGUGUGCGCUCUUCGGUGGGUGCGUACAGUGGCUAGCGCGUUUACUUUGAAAAAAUUAGAGUGCUCAAAGCAGGCCCGCCGCCUGAAUAGUGGUGCAUGGAAUAAUGGAAUAGGACGUCAGUUCUAUUUGUUGGUUCGGAAUUUGACGUAAUGAUUAAGAGGGACAGACGGGGGCAUUCGUAUUGCUACGUUAGAGGUGAAAUUCUUGGAUCGUAGCACGACGAACAACUGCGAAAGCAUUUGCCAAGAAUGUUUUCAUUAA
rnacentral:rRNA from 1 species